rnacentral:piRNA from 1 species
AGUUCUGCUAACUGACGUCUAUCUUGCCAA